UAGUCCUGGCCGUAAACGGAUGAACACUAGGUGUCGGGGGAAUCGACCCCCUCGGUGUCGUAGCCAACGCGUUAAGUGUUCCGCCUGGGGAGUACGCACGCAAGUGUGAAACUCAAAGGAAUUGACGGGGGCCCGCACAAGCGGUGGACUAUGUGGUUUAAUUCGAUGCAACGCGAAGAACCUUACCAGGGUUUGACAUCCUGCGAACCCCCUGGAAACGGGGGGGUGCCUUCGGGAACGCAGUGACAGGUGGUGCAUGGCUGUCGUCAGCUCGUGUCGUGAGAUGUUGGGUUAAGUCCCGCAACGAGCGCAACCCACGUCGUUAGUUGCCAGCAUUCAGUUGGGCACUCUAGCGAGACCGCCGGUGAUAAACCGGAGGAAGGUGUGGAUGACGUCAAGUCAUCAUGCCCCUUACAUCCUGGGCUACACACGUACUACAAUGCUACGGACAAAGGGCCGCAAGCUCGCGAGAGUUAGCAAAUCCCAUAAACCGUGGCUCAGUUCAGAUCGUAGGCUGCAACUCGCCUACGUGAAGGAGGAAUCGCUAGUAAUCGCAGGUCAGCAUACUGCGGUGAAUACGUUCCCGGGCCUUGUACACACCGCCCGUCACACCAUGGAAGUUGGCCACGCCCGAAGUCGUUACUCCAACCUUGUGGAGGAGGACGCCGAAG
rnacentral:rRNA from 1 species